UUUCAUCUAUCUGAAGUCAGACACUUGUUGAUCUGCUACUCUCAGGUUGUUUCAGCAUGGACGCUAAUUUCAGGGUUCUGUGGGAUAAAGAAAACAAAAUCAUUUUGCUUCCCUUUUUUCAGGGCUCUCGCCUAUUCUUCAGAAGCCGUUAAGGUGCCUUCCCUGUGAUUUAGAGAAUUGACCACAAGAGAAGACUCCCUUUCAAACUCUUCAUUCUCUGGUUCAGAGGUUUGAUGUAAUGGUUGUCUCAUCGUACAUGGUCAGCCACAGGAUAUACUUCAUCCAUUUCAGAGCUGUACUCCUGAGUUCCAUGCUAUAAUCAGAAAUAUGUGGCACAUUUUGAACAAAGGAAAUAUAUACCCAACAAAGUGUUAAAAUGGAGCUGCCAACCAGACAAACCCUAGAAAUAUGUAGCCACUUACAGGCAGAACACAACUACAUGUGUUCCCAAUGUGGAAGGCAUUCCGGAAGUGUAUGCAUCCACAUUUCUACAUGAGGCAUCGCCUAUGCAGGCAAUCAAAGGAUGUUGAUGGAUAAGUGUUUCAGGCAGAAUAAUGGCCCUCAAAGAUGUUGACACCAGAAUCUUCAGAACCUUUGCAUAUGUUACCUAACAUGACAAAAGGGACUUUGCUGAUGUGAUUAAGGUUAAGAACUUUGAGAAGGGAAGAUUAUCCUGGAUUAUACAGGUCGACGUUUAUUUCUUUCUGAACUUUCCUGGAGGAUCAUCGGCCAUACUCCAGCAGAAGGGUGGAUUUGAAAAAAUAACGUUUCCACGGCAACAGUGGCAGCAAUUCAAAGGAAGACGUUGGAGAAUUCACAUGCUAUUUUAGCUGGCUCUGUGAUUGCAAUCACACAAAUCAUUACAUUCCAGCGAGAUCCCAUCAACAGAAGGUUUUUCCAUUUCAGUCUGUCAAGUUUUUCAGGCAUGAAUACUGUAAGCAAGAAGAGAAAAGUUACAAUAAAUUGACAUUUAUAGUUGAAGUUGACCUCUAACCUGUGAAGCUUUCUUGAACAUUCCCUCACUGAAAACUCCUUUUCAUUACUUUUCCUGUAUUGUAUCUCUACAUGCUCAUGAGCAGUUUAAAUCAUUGGCAGAUCUGGAUAGUAUCUGCUAAAAACAUGUUGGCACCUAGAUUCCACUGUUACUAACUAAACAUGAAGCUAAAAAUAAAUGAGAGAUGCUAGAGAUUUGAGUAAUUCCACAGUCUCAUCAUAAAUGGCAGCAAGCAGAUUCUGUUGACCAUGGUCUGCUUGUUGCAGAAAGAUAAAACCCAAUAUCAAAAUUGUUCGGGUGAUAAUCUUCUGCACUUUAUCUUCCAGAUGGAAAAUAACCUACACUCUUCAAAUCCUUAAAUAUUUUUGUGCUCACAUUUUCCAAAUACUUAAGGCUGUUAUUCCGAGAUAGUGAGAACCAGCCCAAUCUGUCAUCUUAUCUCCCUUUAAUAAUGA
rnacentral:lncRNA from 10 species